rnacentral:tRNA from 1 species
GGCCUCAUAGAUCAGUUGGCCAGAGCGCUGGCUGUAUUUAGGUCUUCCCUUUGCUGUCGUGGGUUCAAAUCCCACCGAGGUCG